AAGUCGUAACAAGGUUUCCGUAGGUGAACCUGCGGAAGGAUCAUUAACACUUUGUUAACCCAAUAUCAACCAAAUGUGAACUGUAGCGUCCCUAUUCAUUGUUGUAAUAUACUUCGGUUUAUUAUAGCAGUGCGAUAGACAAUACCCCUAGUAGUUGUCACAGACUAGGCCUCCAUACCUUCUCUGUGACGAUGAAACCCUAUAUUAACCAAUUUUAACCCUAUAACAUAAUAAUUGUCUAAUCUUCAUGAGCUUAUCUACUGCCUCGGCGGUUAAUAAGGUUUACGAAAUAUUGAACAACUCUUAGCAAUGGAUAUCUUGGGUCAU
rnacentral:misc_RNA from 1 species